GGCGGCUUUUCAUCCAUACCCCUGUGAACCUUUGGCCUCUUGCUAGCCUUGGCCGGCAGAGGAAUUUUUACACCCACUCGAAUGUAAUGAAAUUAUUGUUGUGCGUAAGCACUAAUGUACAACUUUCAACAACGGAUCUCUUGGCUCUCGCAUCGAUGAAGAACGCAGCGAAAUGCGAUAAGUAAUGUGAAUUGCAGAAUUCAGUGAAUCAUCGAAUCUUUGAACGCACCUUGCACCCUUUGGCAUUCCGAAGGGUAUGCUCGUUUGAGUGUCAUUGUACUCUCACACUUCUGAUCUUUGGAUUGGGAGCGGUGGACUUGGGUGUUGCUGCUUUGCGGUGGCUCGCCUCAAAUGCAUUAGUGCAACUCUUGGUUAGACAUAGUACGGCGUGAUAAGUAUCUUCGCCGGCACCUCGCAAGAGGGUGGCUGAUCAGGAGCUCUGUGCUUCCAACAGUCUGUGUUCAGACAACAACUGACAACUUGACCUC
rnacentral:rRNA from 1 species